CACCACCCAAGUUGGUGAGAGUGGUUAAUAUGAAGCUUCCAUUUGUUAGCUCAGCCCCUGUGAGGCAGGCUGAGGUGUUUGCUUGCAGCACGUGUCCUCCCCAUGAGCAAGAUGUGAGGAGCUGAACUAAUUUGGGAUCGUGGAGGUGUUGACUGCAGACUGCAACUUGUAAUCUCCUUGGCUCCUGCUCUCUUGUGUCUGAGGCCAGAGUUCUCAGGGCUCUGGGGGUUUACCUGGCAACCAAACCUCUGC
rnacentral:lncRNA from 1 species